AUGUAGUAUGAAAGGAGAGGUUGGCACCCCCUUGGCAAGGAUAGAAGAGGUCCUCAGUCCUAGUAACAGGCAUUCCAUUAAGGCAUUGCUAUCUGCUUUGUAGCAUCUAGCCACUGCUUUUA
ensembl:snRNA